AAAAUGGGAAAUGCCACGUAAAUGUCAUUUUGUGUGAAUUAUUAUUUUUUUAUCGGUGGAAUUGAAUGAUUUAUUGUAUAUUGUAAACAUAAGAUCCUGACAUUGAAAUAAUAAAAGAGAGAGGAGAAAGAUACUGAAGGAAAUUCAAAAUAAUGAGGCGAAAAUAACUCGACAACUCUGGAUCUCCAAAUGGAAAAAGAAAAGACAAAA
rnacentral:lncRNA from 1 species